rnacentral:rRNA from 1 species
CAUGUACGGGAGGCAGCAGUAGGGAAUCUUCCGCAAUGGACGCAAGUCUGACGGAGCAACGCCGCGUGAGUGAAGAAGGUUUUCGGAUCGUAAAACUCUGUUGUUAGAGAAGAACAAGUGCUAGAGUAACUGUUAGCACCUUGACGGUAUCUAACCAGAAAGCCACGGCUAACUGCGUGCCAGCAGCCGCGGUAAUCAUG